UUCUUCCCCUCUUCCACCUCCACUGCGGCAGAGGAAAAGAAGGUUAAACACCUUUACCGCGUCAAACUCUACCACCCCUGUCUCUCCUCCAUAUCCAUCUGCCUCUUCCAUUUCCAAGCCUUUGAGUCAGGAGGUGCCACUGGUAAAGAACAGAAGAAAAGGUUGUCAAAAAUGUAGUAGGCAGAAGGUUUUCCUUUUUGAUAAAAUAAAUGGGGAACGAAUAAAUGAGGGGAAAGCUGAAUUGAAAGUUCACUGGUUGCCUUGCACUGUGUGUGGCAAAACCUGGGAUGACACAUGGGAGCCUGCGAGUGAAUUCCAACACAUUGUGCCAAAGUCCCCACAUCCCAACCAGCUUUCAGCAUGACAACAUAGUCACCAUAGACACCUGGACUCAUCAAGCACCCUUCAAUGCAGUUUAUUUUUGAGUGUUUUUUCUUGCUGUUUGUUCUUCAGUAAAGUUUUUGCACAUUACCCAGUCUCUUUUAGUGUUUAGUCUCUUACAGUUGUCUUUUUAAAAACUUUUUGCAUUGGUCUUGAACUGCUUAACAGUGUACCUUGCGAGAUCUUAAGUUUCUUGUCCGUGAGCAUAAGCUCAUGAAUACCAAAUAAUACUCCAAAAGCUACUAAAUUGUCACUCAAGUUUUGUAUUCAUGUUUGAAGUGUUUGAUUACAAUAAUAGAUAUGAAUUACUUUAUUA